rnacentral:rRNA from 1 species
UACAGAGGCCCCAAGCGUUACUGGGAAUCACUGGGUUUAAAGGGUGCGUAGGUGGCGCGGUAAGUCGGUUGUGAAAGCCCUGGGCUCAACCCAGGAACUGCUUCGGAUACUGGCGCGCUUGAGGCUAGUAGAGGUCACUGGAACUGACGGUGGAGCGGUGAAAUGCGUAGAUAUCGUCAGGAACGCCAAUGGUGAAGACAGGUGACUGGGCUAGUUCUGACACUGAGGCACGAAAGCGUGGGGAGCGAACGGG